UAGGGAAUCUUCGGCAAUGGGGGCAACCCUGACCGAGCAACGCCGCGUGAGUGAAGAAGGUUUUCGGAUCGUAAAGCUCUGUUGUAAGAGAAGAACGUGUGUGAGAGUGGAAAGUUCACACAGUGACGGUAACUUACCAGAAAGGGACGGCUAACUACGUGCCAGCAGCCGCGGUAAUACGUAGGUCCCGAGCGUUGUCCGGAUUUAUGGGGCGUAAAGCGAGCGCAGGCGGUUUAAUAAGUCUGAAGUUAAAGGCAGUGGCUUAACCAUUGUUCGCUUUGGAAACUGUUGAACUUGAGUGCAGAAGGGGAGGGUGGAAUUCCAUGUGUAGCGGUGAAAUGCGUAGAUAUAUGGAGGAACACCGGUGGCGAAAGCGGCUCUCUGGUCUGUAACUGACGCUGAGGCUCGAAAGCGUGGGGAGCAAACAGG
rnacentral:rRNA from 1 species